rnacentral:lncRNA from 1 species
AUGCUGACAACAAAAGAAAUUAAUGUAGUUGCCCUCCCCCCAUUAGUUUUUGGCUUCUCACCUCGAGGACCCCACGCUCCUCACGGCUGUGGCUGGACGGGUACCGAGGCAUGGACGUGGCUCGGCGCUGUGCUGUUGAUAUUCUGUUUGUGCUGCCAUAGAAACCUGCGCUCCCGCUGCCGGGUAACACGUGUAGCUGGGCCCCCUGUGGCUGGGACAAGAGUCCCUGGCCUGGUGCAGCAGAGAGAAGGCUCCCAGGGUCCAACUGCAGUGAGAAGCAUCAUGACACAGUCUUAUCUUUACAGGAAACUCCCUGUGUACCCAGGAUACUGCACAGGUCACUGAGCAGCCAUCUCCCCAUUGCCUGGAGUCUUCUCAAGGAGACUCACUUGGUUAAGUUUUUCGCUUCAAUUUCUUCAAAGUGAGUACUGAUACAUACCACACAAAGGGAACAACCUGACUAACGGCAAGUGGCACAGAAACACCACAUGGAUUGGUGUUUUUUUUUCUUUCUCUGGAGCAACUUGUUCCUCUCUUUCCUGCUGAAUGGUGCAUCUGCAGAACCCAGAGCAUCCCAAGAGGAAGAAGGGCAAUUCAGAGCCUAUUUACAGGGUAGCAAUCAAGACGGGAGGAGGGAUCUGCAAGUGAGUGUCCAUAGCACACAGUGUGUAAGAGCUCUGCUGGAGGUGGUGAGGCCAGCUCUGCCUGACUGUGGUCUGCCAGUGGCACUGCUGCUUACCCCCUCUUUUCAUCUGAAGCUUUCUUCAAGGAGGGAUUUUAUCUCAAGGUGAAAUUUUCUAGGUGGAGGCCAGCCGUGGGGUUGGCAGCAAUCUUGUAUUGCAGGGCUCAGUGACCCCUAUUUGCCACCUUUUUACGUUAUAGGUGAGUUUUCCAGACAUGAAGAACACCAAGAAAAGCCUGACUCACCCUCCAGCUAUUGAAGGAGAAAUGCCCCCAGAGAUUGCUUUGCAAGAUCCGUGAGCUCAGCUCUCAUCUUUGCAGACAGGCUGAUGGAGCAGGACUCAUUCAGGUCUUCCUACCACUGACCCUUACACCCAGUGUCUUCCUGGGCUACCUCACCCAACAUGAAGACCAGAGGCCUUCGGUGGUCUUUCCCAAAUGGUAUUGUUUUGUGGUUCAGCCAUCUCCAGCUGUGUUUGCAUCAGGCUCUGUAAGCUCCUGACCCCAGGUCCAGCCUCCUGCCCCAAGCAGGGCUAACUUAGGCUGCCCAAGGCCUUUCCCAGCUGAUUUGAAGAUCUCUGAGGAUGCAGGUUUCGGGAAUUCUCCAGACAACAGAGGGUAAGAUCUGGGAGGCUGAGCUCGGGCCCCUGAGCGGCCCCACUGCCUUGCUCUGGUAAUGAUAUAAAUAAAUGAUAUUGUUGCAAUUUCA